rnacentral:tRNA from 1 species
GCAGUGGUAGUUUUGUGGUAGAAUUCUCACCUUACAUAUGGGAGACCUGGGUUUGAUUCUUGGCCGGUGCA